rnacentral:rRNA from 1 species
AUACGGAGGGUCCAAGCGUUAUCCGGAUUCAUGGGGUUUAAAGGGUCCGCAGGCGGGAAAAUAAGUCAGUGGUGAAAGCCUACAGCUCAACUGUAGAACUGCCAUUGAUACUGUUUUUCUUGAGUAUAGAUGAAGUGGGCGGAAUAUAUCAUGUAGCGGUGAAAUGCAUAGAUAUGAUAUAGAACACCGAUUGCGAAGGCAGCUCACUAAACUAUUACUGACGCUCAGGGACGAAAGCGUGGGGAGCGAACAGGAUUAGAAACCCCAGUAGUCC